CCUACGGGAGGCAGCAGUGAAGAAUAUUGGUCAAUGGGCGCGAGCCUGAACCAGCCAAGUAGCGUGAAGGAUGACUGCUCUACGGGUUGUAAACUUCUUUUAUAAAGGAAUAAAGUGAGGCACGUGUGCCUUUCUGUAUGUACUUUAUGAAUAAGGAUCGGCUAACUCCGUGCCAGCAGCCGCGGUAAUACGGAGGAUCCGAGCGUUAUCCGGAUUUAUUGGGUUUAAAGGGAGCGUAGUUGGGUUGUUAAGUCAGUGGUGAAAGUUUGCGGCUCAACCGGAGAAUUGCAAUUGAUACUGGCAGUCUUGAGUACAGUUGAGGUAGGCGGAAUUCGUGGUGUAGCGGUGAAAUGCUUAGAGAUCACGAAGAACACCGAUUGCGAAGGCAGCUUACUAAACUGUAACUGACAUUGAGGCUCGAAAGUGUGGGUAUCAAACAGGAUUAGAGACCCGGGUAGUC
rnacentral:rRNA from 1 species